UAUAUAUAUAUAUAGAAACAAAUAUAUCCGAAGAUUUGUAAUCCAGGCACAACAUUAUGAUUACAAAUCAUCUGACAUAUUUGUUGAAGUUAACCUGGUUGAAAAGAUAACUUUUAUCGAGCAUUCAACACGGUUCUUCGAAACAUAUAUUCACAGCACUUCGCACAAGCACAAAUAUACUUAUUAACUUCAGCAUUACCAUAUAAAGGGCAUGAAAUAUUAUGCGUGCAAUACCCCACCUCCAACUCAUUACUUUCUUGCAUAUAUAAGCACAGAUAUGAGAGGUGGUAGGUGCAUGGUAGGUUGAAAUACCUUCGCCAGUCACGUGCACACACAUAGAAAUACAGAUAUUUCAUCCGCGCUUAUGUCAGCACGAUAAUUCAGAAACUAUCUGAGUCAAAAACUAUUGAUAUUUUAUGGCUAUACAAAACACUAACCGGACUGACUUGAUCAAAAUAAAGUGAAAACAACAUAAUUGGUUAUGACUGAUAUUGCCAGAACAAUAGAGAUGCAGAAUCUUCCGACA